GAUGAACGCUAGCGGCAGGCUUAAUACAUGCAAGUCGAGGGGUAGCAAGAUUGUAGCAAUACAAUUGUUGACGACCGGCAAACGGGUGCGGAACACGUACACAACCUUCCUACAAGUGGGGAAUAGCCCAGAGAAAUUUGGAUUAAUACCCCGUAACAUAGCGAUGUGGCAUCACAUUGCUAUUAUAGCUUCGGCGCUUGUUGAUGGGUGUGCGGCUGAUUAGAUAGUUGGCGGGGUAACGGCCCACCAAGUCUACGAUCAGUAGCUGAUGUGAGAGAAUGAUCAGCCACACGGGCACUGAGACACGGGCCCGACUCCUACGGGAGGCAGCAGUAAGGAAUAUUGGACAAUGGACGCAAGUCUGAUCCAGCCAUGCCGCGUGAAGGAUUAUGGUCCUCUGGAUUGUAAACUUCUUUUAUAAGGGACGAAAAAAGGUCUUUCUAGAUCGUCUGACGGUACCUUAUGAAUAAGCACCGGCUAACUCCGUGCCAGCCGCCGCAGUAAGAC
rnacentral:rRNA from 1 species